GGAAAGAUGAAAAGAACUUUGAAAAGAGAGUUAAAUAGUACGUGAAAUUGUUGAAAGGGAAACGAUUGAAGCCAGUCGUACCUGAGGGUAAUCAGCCCUUUUGGGCAUGAUUCUGUGGAGCGUGAGGAGUUAAACGCCUUCAUGCCUGCAUAUUCGUGUACUUUGGGUGUACUUGCCUGUGUGGUUAGUUAACAUCAAUUUUGGUUAUCAUAAAAUGGUUGGAGGAAUGUAGCUUCGAUUUCGAUUGAAGUGUUAUAGCCUUCGGCAGAUGUGAUGAUCGGGAUUGAGGAUUGCAACGGAUACCCUUCGGGGCUACCUGUCUGGUCUCUGAUCGUUGCUUUGGUGCCGAAAGCGUGCUUACGGUUAUCAAAGUCGAUGGUCAAUAGGUUAGAACGGGUUAAAUUCGUUAAGGAUGUUGACGUAAUGGCUUUAAACGACCCGUCUUGAAACACGGACCA
rnacentral:rRNA from 1 species